ACGGAAGGAGCAGUAAGGGAUAUUGCACAAUGGGGGAAACCCUGAUGCAGCAACGCCGCGUGAGGGAAGAAGGUUUUCGGAUUGUAAACCUCUGUUUUUAGUGAAGAAACAAAUGACGGUAGCUAAAGAGGAAGCCACGGCUAACUACGUGCCAGCAGCCGCGGUAAUACGUAGGUGGCAAGCGUUGUCCGGAUUUACUGGGUGUAAAGGGUGCGCAGGCGGGACUGCAAGUUGGAUGUGAAAUACCGAAGCUUAACUUCGGAGCUGCAUCCAAAACUGUGGUUCUUGAGUGAAGUAGAGGUAGGCGGAAUUCCGAGUGUAGCGGUAAAAUGCGUAGAUAUUCGGAGGAACACCAGUGGCGAAGGCGGCCUACUGGGCUUUAACUGACGCUGAGGCACGAAAGCAUGGGGAGCAAACAGGAUUAGAUACCCUGGUA
rnacentral:rRNA from 1 species